UACGAAGGGGGCUAGCGUUGCUCGGAAUCACUGGGCGUAAAGCGCACGUAGGCGGCUUCUUAAGUCAGGGGUGAAAUCCUGGAGCUCAACUCCAGAACUGCCUUUGAUACUGAGGAGCUUGAGGAUGAGAGAGGUGAGUGGAAUUCCCAGUGUAGAGGUGAAAUUCGUAGAUACUGGGAAGAACACCGGUGGCGAAGGCGGCUCACUGGCUCAUUACUGACGCUCAUGCACGACAGCGUGGGGAUCAAACAGG
rnacentral:rRNA from 1 species